rnacentral:tRNA from 1 species
GCCCAGGUGGCGAAAUUGGUAGACGCAGGGGACUCAAAACCCCCCGCCGCAAGGUGUGACGGUUCGAGUCCGUCCCUGGGCACCA